AAGACUAUAGACCUGCGGAGUACCUGCGGAAGGAUCAUUAACGGUUUUCGGGUGCUCUCGCGCCCAAACCCCAACCCUAUGAUUUAUUCAUCCUGUUUCUUUGCCGGCUCCGGCCGGCAGAAGCCUUCUCAAACUCGAUGUAAUCGUGUCGUCUGAAUUGUGAAAAACAAAUGAAUCAAAACUUUCAACAAUGGAUCUCU
rnacentral:misc_RNA from 1 species